AUUGAACGCUGGCGGCAGGCUCAACACAUGCAAGUCGAGCGGAGAUGAGGUGCUUGCACCUUAUCUUAGCGGCGGACGGGUGAGUAAUGCUUAGGAAUCUGCCUAUUAGUGGGGGACAACAUUCCGAAAGGAAUGCUAAUACCGCAUACGUCCUACGGGAGAAAGCAGGGGAUCUUCGGACCUUGCGCUAAUAGAUGAGCCUAAGUCGGAUUAGCUAGUUGGUGGGGUAAGGGCCUACCAAGGCGACGAUCUGUAGCGGGUCUGAGAGGAUGAUCCGCCACACUGGGACUGAGACACGGCCCAGACUCCUACGGGAGGCAGCAGUGGGGAAUAUUGGACAAUGGGGGGAACCCUGAUCCAGCCAUGCCGCGUGUGUGAAGAAGGCCUUAUGGUUGUAAAGCACUUUAAGCGAGGAGGAGGCUACUGAGACUAAUACUCUUGGAUAGUGGACGUUACUCGCAGAAUAAGCACCGGCUAACUCUGUGCCAGCCGCCGCCGUAA
rnacentral:rRNA from 1 species